UCCUGGUUAGCUUCGGUUGGUAAAGCACUUCACUGGAAAUGGAGAGGUCCCUGGUUCGAUCCCAGGUCAAGGCA
rnacentral:tRNA from 1 species